ACCCCACUAUUCUCUUUAACUUAAAACCCUAAGCACUACAACUAUCAUAGUUAAAACUUAAAGAACAUGGCGGUCAGCUUAAAUUUCAGAGGAACCUGCCAGGUAAGUGAUAACCCGCAGAAGCCCCUGCUUCCCCUAAAAGUCUAUAUAUCGCCGUUUAGAAACCCCCUUAGGGGGUUUCUAAAGUAUUAAAACAGGUCAUGAUGUAGCCAAUGGAGAAGAGCAAGGUGGGUUACAGUAAAUGAUUUUUAGGUACGGAUACUUACUUUAAGGUAGGUUGAAGGAGGAUUUGAAAGUAAUUUUUAAAAGAAUUAUAAGGUGAAUACUUCUAAGCUUGUGCACACACCG
rnacentral:rRNA from 1 species